UGGAUGAUGUGGAUUAAUUCGUAUGCAACGACGAAAACCUUACCUACCUUGACAUGUCCGGAAUCCGAAGAGAUUGGGAGUGCUCGCAAGAGAGCCGGAACACAGGUGCUGCAUGGCUGUCGUCAGCUCGUGUCGUGAGAUGUUGGGUUAAGUCCCGCAACGAGCGCAACCCUUGUCAUUAGUUGCCAUCAUUUGGUUGGGCACUCUAAUGAGACUGCCGGUGACAAACCGGAGGAAGGUGGGGAUGACGUCAAGUCCUCAUGGCCCUUAUGGGUAGGGCUUCACACGUCAUACAAUGGUCGGUACAGAGGGUUGCCAACCCGCGAGGGGGGAGCUAAUCCCACAAAGCCGAUCGUAGUCCGGAUCGCAGUCUGCAACUCGACUGCGUGAAGUCGGAAUCGCUAGUAAUCGUGGAUCAGCAUGUCACGGUGAAUACGUUCCCGGGUCUU
rnacentral:rRNA from 1 species